CCUACGGGUGGCUGCAGUGGGGAAUAUUGCACAAUGGGGGAAACCCUGAUGCAGCAACGCCGCGUGAGUGAGGAAGUAUUUAGGUAUGUAAAGCUCUAUCAGCAGGGAAUAGAAAAGAAGGUACCUGAAAAAGAAGCACCGGCUAACUACGUGCCAGCAGCCGCGGUACUAGGUAGGGGGCGAGCGUUAUCCGGAUUUACUGGGGUUAAAGGGAGCGUAGACGGAAAGGCAAGUGAGAAGUGAAAACCCAAGGCUCAACCAUGGGACUGCUGCUGAAACUGUCAAACUAGAGUACGGGGGAGGUAAGAGGAAUUCGUGGUGUAGCGGUGAAAUGCUUAGAUAUUAGGAAGAACACCAGUGGCGAAGGCGGCUUUCUGGACUGGAACUGACGCUGAGGCACGAAAGCGUGGGGAGCGAACAGGAUUAGAUACCCCGGUAGUC
rnacentral:rRNA from 1 species